CAUGUUUGUAAUCUGGAGUUAUCUUUGACUUUUUCCUUCUAUUUCCCCUUUCUAUCUAAUUUUUACAAUGUCUGAUCAAGUCUAACUGUAUAACAUUUUGAAAAUUUAUUUGUACUUCUCUAUCCCUGUGGCUAGUCCCUUAGUAUGGGUACUCAUUAUUGUCUCCCUGGAACAGUGAUGAUGAACCUUAUAGAGACCAAGUGCCCAAACUGCACUCUUAGACCACAUGUGAUCCACCUCUUUACCCCAGACAGGGGAACAAGUAAGCACUCCCAUUGAGCUUCUGGGCAGAGGGGCAGGUGAUGUGAAAAAUUUCCUCAGGAAAUGUGAAUAACAUCUUCAAUCAACUUGAUCAACUAUAGUGAAAUAUAGGAUGACUAAUACCAACUAUGCUCCUGAUACCCCUUAAAAAGGCAAAUACAAACUUUGAGGUUUAAUCCAUUGCUGGAAGUCUAGACAAGAGCAAAUAAUGUAUAGAUCAUGAGAAGGAAUACAUCACCAUUUCCCUUGUGCCACUUACAGAUUACAAUGGUGGUUGGAAGAAGAGGAUCUUUCAUUCAUAUUUCCCAUCAAUGGCAUGUUGUGGUGGAGCAACUUAACUAGUAGGAGAUGCUGUGGUCAGCAGUCAAUUGAAAAAAAAAAUCCUGUGAAAGUGAGUUUGUUGAAUAUUGAAAUGGGCUCAAAGACCUCAGAAGAGUGAUACACCCAGUAGAGACUGAACACAGGAGAAGCAAUUAUUUAGAAACCUACAUCCACAACAGAGGAGAAAUAUCUUUAAUGCUUAUGUCCCUAGCAUCUUCCGUUAAAUGAAAUGAUGGAUCUCUUUCUGGUCAAAGUAAAUAUAUAUGAGGAAAAUGAAGCAGUACAAUGAGGAACAGAGGAAGUUUGGGAAAAAAUGCUGACAAAUACUGUGUCCAUGCACAAAAUCCUAGGGAUACAAAAUAGUCUUUGUCCUCAAGGAUCUUAUAUUACACUGGGUGGAUAUUCCAUUGUAUAUAUGUACACAGAAUGUGUGAGCACAAUCAUCUUCAAAAAACACAGUCUUCUAUUUAUGAUUCCACUGAAAAUUAAAGUAAAAUUAAUCUUUCUUACCUUACUAAAGAUGAGCAAUUCCUUUUUUAUUAACUUUUGAAAAAAAUUAUCCAGCACUCCACUAAAUAUUGGAGUACUAUAAAAAUAUAACAACUUUUCCAGUCUGAUAAUGACCUCUCUAUUAACUACUAAUCUUAUAAAUCUUUUAUAUGAAAUUUUAAAAUGUUAUUGAAGGAUGCCAAUUUUCAUGAUGAAAAUAUUGCUUUUCUCUCCUUUAAAAUGAAUGUAUUGAUUUCACUAAUCUAUAUGUUUUCCUUGACUAUAUUCUGCUAUCUUACAGAUGAAUGGCAUUCAAUAAAAUAAUGGAAAGUCAUUUCUUGCCA
rnacentral:lncRNA from 1 species